AGGCUUCGCUACACGUCUUAAAAUGAAGCCCGGAGAUCUGCGGACUAUUGGUCAGUCCGCUACAGACCUAAGAAGGGCUACGCUACAUGUCUUAAAAUGAAGCCCAGAGAUCUGCGGACUAUUGGUCAGUCCGCUACAGACCUAGAAACGCUCUGCAGACAUCUGACGCAGAUUGAUGAAAGACGUCAAAGCGGCAGAAGUGCUGAGCAUCCAUGUGCUCGUCUGCAGGCAUCGGUCUUCCCCAUAUAAAGAACAUAAAGCAACGUCCUGACCUCAUCCCAGAACUCAUUCACUGAUUGUAUAAGCUGCGGAGAUCCUUCUCAUCUCGCUAGGAGGAGCUCAUCCCAGCGCUAAACAGCGACUUUUCGGGCUUUUGUCUGCGCCUUUCAUGCGCCGACAGGUGACGCCUCGCGGGUUAAUCGCUUCUCAUUUACAAGUGCUGACGUUUUAUCGCACGGCUGAACACGAGACGGGGGGGGUGGAUUUUGUGCUUUGCUUUUUGUGACCACAAGCCGGCUUUCUAGAACAGACUGAAGAGACGAGAAGAGGUCGCAAUGAAAGAGAAAAGGCCGACUGCAAGCAAUAAACACACUUUUGUUAGCUUGUUGAGGGAGAUUGAAAGCCGGACAAACACGCUUGAAGUCAAGGUAGCCGCACAAAACCCCCCCGGAAUGAAGCGUUGCAUCAACAGCCAGCACCAGACCCUCUAACCCCCAACCCAGAAGCAGCUCGGACUAAUUGAUUCAGCUGGCAACAUUCCAGCAGCGCUCUGCUUGUCGACAUGCAGGCUGGUAUACAGAGCGGGCUGACCCAGGUCACUGGCGUGUUUACCAAAGUGGAAAUUGGUUUGUGCAUGACCUCCGCAUGGAUCUGCAAGCACUCUCAACGCUUGUUAAUAGCCAGGAGGAACCAUACACAACGCUCAAUUGUAUCAGUAAUACAUCUUGCUUGACAUUCACUCAUAACCAUUCACUUAAGUUGCGCACAUCCAUCCAUCCAUUUUCUACCGCUUGUCCCUUUUGGGAUCACGGGGGGUCGCUGGAGCCUAUCCCAGCUGCAUUCAGGCGGUAGGCGGGGUACACCCUGGACAAGUCGCCACCUCAUCACAGGGCCAACACAGAUAGACGCACAUGUUCUCCUUCAUCCAUGUACAGUACAGGCCAAAAGUUUGGACAAACCUCAAUCA